rnacentral:rRNA from 1 species
AUUGAACGCUGGCGGCAGGCUUAACACAUGCAAGUCGAGCGGGGGAAAGUACUUCGGUACUGGACCUAGCGGCGGACGGGUGAGUAAUGCUUAGGAAUCUGCCAUUUAGUGGGGGAUAACAUUCCGAAAGGAAUGCUAAUACCGCAUACGUCCUACGGGAGAAAGCAGGGGAUCUUCGGACCUUGCGCUAAAUGAUGAGCCUAAGUCGGAUUAGCUAGUUGGUGGGGUAAAGGCCUACCAAGGCGACGAUCUGUAGCGGGUCUGAGAGGAUGAUCCGCCACACUGGGACUGAGACACGGCCCAGACUCCUACGGGAGGCAGCAGUGGGGAAUAUUGGACAAUGGGCGGAAGCCUGAUCCAGCCAUGCCGCGUGUGUGAAGAAGGCCUUAUGGUUGUAAAGCACUUUAAGCGAGGAGGAGGCUCCUCUGGUUAAUACCCAGGAUGAGUGGACGUUACUCGCAGAAUAAGCACCGGCUAACUCUGUGCCAGCCGCCGCCGUAACAC